rnacentral:lncRNA from 1 species
AUGACCAUUAGAGGCUGUUCUGAAGGACACCAAUGCAGAAACACUAAAACAUCGUUUUUGAGCUUUUCAGGCUGUAGAAACACUAGUUCAAACCACGGCAAUGCAACUGCACAUUUAGGAAGCAUUGAGCUAGUUGAAAGUAUUCUGGCAUCAGAACAUGACCAUUAGAGGCUGUUCUGAAUGAAACCAAUGCAUAAACACUAAAACAUUGUUUUUGAGCUUUUCAGGUCAUAAGAACACUAGUUUAAACCACGGCAUAUGCAACUGUGCUUUUUAGGGUGUAUUGACCUGUUUUAAAGUUGCCUGGCAUCAGAACAUGACCAUUAGAGGCUGUUCGGUGGAAAACAAUGCAAAAACACUAAAACAUCUUUUUUGAGCUUUUCAUGUCAUAAGAAAUCUAGUUUAAACAACGGCAUAUGCAACUGUACAUUUAGGAUGCAUUGAGCUGUUUGACAGUAUUUGUCAGACUCGAAGCAGGCGGCGGACCCACAUGCACAGCACGGAGGCGAGA